AUGUGCUGGCUAUUGACUGCUGCAGCAGCGUAAGGGUUAGUAAGAAUGACUGCCAGUGAAAGGGAAGAAUUCGUGUACAGGAUUAGUACGGCUGAGGAAUGGGAAGCAUUGCAAAAGAAUGAAUCUGUUUUUGGCGGAGACCUUGACAAGUCCUCUGGUUUCAUUCACCUCAGCUCGCUUCAUCAGGUAAAGCCGACAUUGCAGAAUUUUUUCUCUAACGUCAAGGUGGAUUUGUACCUUCUUCAGAUUGAUGCUAAGAAGCGCUGCAGCAAGAAAUCAAGGCAGAAAAAUGGGAGAAACAAAGAGUUUCUCGCUGCAGCGAAGAAGAAGAAAAAAAAACCCCGAGAGUUUCUCGCUGCAACGAGUUGUUCAGCUGUCUCCAAUAUAAAACCCACGUCUUCCCCUCUCAUUUCCAUUUUCUCAAAUCUCUAACCCUAACCCCACUCUCCCUCAAAAAUCCUCUCUCAUAAAAUCAAAUUUCUCUCAUACUUAUUGGCAAAACUUUCAAAAAUCAUCAAAAUUCUUGCCAACAAAUCAAGAUUUGAGGAUUUUAGGGAACAGCUUUCCAUUAAAGUGCAGAUUUGCUUGGAGAUGGAUUGAUAUAUGAGGUUGUAGAUGGUUCCAACUGCUUCCCACACUUCUAUGGCCCAUCUCGAAGCUUCGCUCCUCUUCCGUUAGAUGCAGUUACAAAAGCUGAGAAGCUAUCUGUAUCAGAUGGCC